CAACCCACCAUCAAGAACCACUUCUGCAGUGCGGGGUCACAGUGGUUCGGAGCCUAUUCUUGAAGCUUUGAGCAUGAGUUUUCAAGUUCAUAUCACUUGGUCUCUGGUUCCCCCUGUUGGACAGGAAAAUGUACUACACCUUGACGUAAACGAAUGAAAACGGUAAUAGUACAUUUACAUUUAUAUUUACAUUUAUUUAUUUAGGAGACACUUUUCUCUAAAGCGACUUCCAAUGAACUCUAUGUAGUGUUAUCAGCCCACACAUUUUAUUCAAAGUAACUUACACUGCUAGAGACACUACUUACAAUGGGUCACAGAUUAGUAACAGAUUGGUAAACUACAUAAUCACUACAUCCUGCUUGUUAAUUAUAAAUCAAUAAGCAGACUCUGUCUUUAUAUAGUAAAUGUAUGUAGACUUUACUUUAGAAAACAGAUAUAUGUCUACUGUUAUUAAAAUUGGGCCGCUGUUAAGGCUCUGCUCAACUGAAAAAAAUGUAAAUAUUACUUUGCCUCUAGCAGCAGGUAGCACCGCUGCUAGAGGCACCUCACAGCAACUGGGCUGUUCAGGUGUGUGUUCAAAUCCUGCUCAUUCUGUGAGCAAUUUGCAUGAUCUCCAUGUGUCUGCACAGGUUUCUUCCCACAGUCCAAAGACGUGUUGCAGGUUAACUGGAGACUCUACUGUCCGCUGAUUCGGCGAUAGACUCCGAACCACUGUGAUCCUAACCAGGACAAGUAUUUAACGAAAGUUUCGUGGCUCUCAACAUCUGGUUUAUGUGCCACAGGUAAGAGAAGCUUUGUGAAAUUGCUCAGAACACAUGUGGUACUUCACAUGUGAAGUGUGCCUCCCUGCAACUCCUUCACAGCACGCGAUUUGGACCUUUCACAGCUGUGUGCGAUGCAUGCAAAAGUCCUGCAAGAUGUGUGAAGCCACGGCAUGUUCCCUGCAGCGCCUCGUAUCGUCCCACUUGGUAGGUCAAAACAAAACGAAUCAGACAUCUUCCAGGAGAAAAAAAGAAAAAAGAUCAGAGCUGAACAGAACAUACGGGAGGAUUAUUUCCACUCCUGCCGCUAUCUGCUCAAGUCCUGCGGUUAAGCAGUCUGCCUCCCAGAUUCACCCCUACAGUGUUGUGAGCCACAGGAAACGUGAAGGAGGACGACUCGGUCAGUGUUUCGGGUGA
rnacentral:lncRNA from 1 species